ACAAACAAAGGAAGAAGAUGCUUCGUCUGGUUUGAACAUCUAAAAAAAGAUGAGAUUCAUGGGGGUGGGUGCUUGGUGCUUAAAGACAGAAGUGGACGAUGCUGCAAAUACGACGACAUCGAACCUGCUGAAAAGGAUUUUAUUUUUAUAACAACAAUGAGCGUGGGGACGCAAAUCUGUUUCAGAAAGAUUUGGGGAAAAAAGAAUAUGGAAACUGAAUGAGAUGAUGCUGCUGCUCGGGGUUUUAGUGACAAAAAAAAAAAAAGAACCCGGAAACUGAAUCAGCUCCUGAUGCAUGAGGUUCUUAGAGCUCGGAAACGGAAUCAGGUGAUGCCGAUUGGGGUUCCCGGAGAAAAAAAAAAGGAGCUUGGAAACGGAAUCAGGUGGUGCCGAUUGGGGUCAUAGAGAUUAGGGAUAAAUCUAAAAUUGAAACUGAAACAGGUCCUGUUUCUUGGGGCUACUAAUUUGGGUUUGAAGGACUAACGGAAACUGGAUCGGGCUCUGAAACUAACCCCAAAUCCUGCUGCUUGGGGACAGCCUAGUGCCACUGCUUCAGACAAGGAUUCUAAUGGCCGGAUGAUGAAAAUCCGAGGAAUAGCAGACAAAGAGAGAAAGAUGAGAAUGAGACAAGCCAACCAAGAGAUAUCCAUCUGCUGGCUCACAUGGUAGCUUGUCCGAUGGUGGGGGUUUAGACUGGAAGAAGAAUAGUCUUCCUAGGAGCCCUGGGUCUGAGGUGAAUUUGGCUCCCAUGUUUACAGCAAGAAGACAGCGCUUGGACAUGUUCACCGCCUCUGAGGACCAAUAGCUUCUCUCAGAUGUCGAGCCAGUCAUGAGGAUGAGACUCAGGAUAAUAUAAUGCCUCAGUCCGGAUAUACUGAUCUCGGAUGAUGACAAGACAAUUUUUCCUUGAACCUCCAUGAUCCAGACAAAAGACUCUAAGCUUGGUUCCGGUGUUGAGAUUUUUCCAUCACGGUAAUUAAAUAGCAUGACAAAUAUAGAGCAUCUCCUUCUUGUGUGCUUGCAGGGAUCAUCUCAAUCUGGCAUUGUGCUUUCUCAGUCUGGAAAUUGCUAUCCAUAGCGUUGAGAUGCAGGUAUACCGCUGAAACAGGUAUGUCUCGACCUUUCCUUGAAACAUGCAGCAAACGAAUAACAGCUUUGAUGAAUCAAUUAAAACAUCUCCACCCAGCAAACGAAUAACAGCUCUGAAUAACCAAUUAAAACAUCUCCAUGAACCAAUUAAAACAUGCAGCAAACGAAUAACAGCUCUGAAUAAACUGGUACAAUAACAAUCUCCAUAUUUUUCUCACAUCCAGAAUUUGGUUUCAGUUAAUUCUCACAUUCAGAUUUUGGUUUCAAUUUUUCUUCCGGAGUCUUUUGCUCAUUAGCGAUUUUCUGGCUGCGGUUACAGUUUUACAAGCUAUUGGUGCUUUUCCGGCUCUUGCAACAAACUUAUAAAAUAACAUUUAUCUUUUUUGAAUCACAAUUUACUAUUCACUUAAUUAUCUCUUCAACCUGGAGAUUCCUUUCUCAUCUCGUUAAGCAAACAGGUAAGUAAUGUUCUUGGAACGUUAUGCUCUCUUUAUGUGUCUAUCUUAUGAUUGAUAUCUAUAUAUUCUCUUCAGAAAUGGACGUAUCCGAAACUGUGGGUAGGAUUUUUGAAAUGGUGCAGAGUCAAAACAGCUCAACUGUUUCUUGAUUAUAGCGGUUUUGAGAACACAGUCUAUAAUCCUUGUUUAAUUCAAUUGUUUCUUCCACAACUGCCUGCAAGAAAGAAAGAAAACGUUUGUUUAUCGCUGAAAUUACUUUUUGUCCAGCUGGAUUAUGCAUUGAAUAAAAUCUCAGCUUAGGAGCUCCUCUAACCGGAAUGAUUUGGACUUCAAAGAGAAGAACAGAUUCAGAAACUCAGUCUGCCUCUACUUGUUGCCAGUCGGAGAAGAACAGUGCAUCAUUUCAGGAAGAAGGUUAAACUGUGUAUUUCAUCAUAUUUCUUAGAAGAUUUUAUUUCAAAAAUGAAGUUUGUAGAUUUAAAUUAAACUCAAGACAUUAGCUAUUGUAAUUUGUUGUGUUCUACUUUUUUUAUCAAGACUAAUAGAAAAAUGCGA